GAUGAACGCUAGCGACAGGCUUAACACAUGCAAGUCGAGGGGCAGCAUACUAAUCAGCUUGCUGAUUAUGGUGGCGACCGGCGCACGGGUGAGUAACGCGUAUGCAACCUACCUAUCAGAGGGGGAUAGCCCAUCGAAAGAUGGAUUAAUACCGCAUAAAACAGGGGCCUCGCAUGAGGAUAUUUGUUAAAGAGAUUCGCUGAUAGAUGGGCAUGCGUUCCAUUAGUUAGUUGGUGAGGUAACGGCUCACCAAGACAUCGAUGGAUAGGGGUUCUGAGAGGAAGGUCCCCCACACUGGUACUGAGACACGGUCCAGACUCCUACGGGAGGCAGCAGUGAGGAAUAUUGGUCAAUGGGCGUAAGCCUGAACCAGCCAAGUAGCGUGAGGGAUGACUGCCCUAUGGGUUGUAAACCUCUUUUAUAUGGGAAUAACAGAUUCUACGUGUAGAAUUUUGCAUGUACCAUUAUGAAUAAGCAUCGGCUAACUCCGUGCCAGCAGCCGCAGUAAAAC
rnacentral:rRNA from 1 species